AGCGAACGCUGGCGGCAGGCCUAACACAUGCAAGUCGAACGGAUCCUUCGGGAUUAGUGGCGGACGGGUGAGUAACACGUGGGAACGUGCCCUUUGGUUCGGAACAACUCAGGGAAACUUGAGCUAAUACCGGAUGUGCCCUUCGGGGGAAAGAUUUAUCGCCAUUGGAGCGGCCCGCGUCUGAUUAGCUAGUUGGUGAGGUAAAGGCUCACCAAGGCGACGAUCAGUAGCUGGUCUGAGAGGAUGAUCAGCCACAUUGGGACUGAGACACGGCCCAAAUUCCUACGGGAGGCAGCAGUGGGGAAUCUUGCGCAAUGGGCGAAAGCCUGACGCAGCCAUGCUGCGUGAAUGAUGAAGGUCUUAGGAUUGUAGAAUUCUUUCACCGGGGACGAUAAUGACGGUACCCGGAGAAGAAGCCCCGGCUAACUUCGUGCCAGCCGCCGCCGUAAUAC
rnacentral:rRNA from 1 species